AAACUCAGCAUCUGUCCAGCCCACAGGGUCAUUGAGGGGACCUGACAUGGCAGGUCUUGCUGUGCUUCUCUUCCUGGCAGCUUGCUCAGGAGUCAGCUCCCAGGUCCAGCUGACCCAGUCUGGCGCAGAAGUCAAGAAGCCUGGGGAGUCGGUGAAGUUGACAUGUAGAACAUCUGGCUACACAUUCACCAGCUAUGGCAUGAAUUGGGUGCGUCAGGCCCCUGGGAAAGGGUUUGAGUACAUUGGAUAUAUCAAUCCCAGUAGUGGUGGUACUAGCUAUGCCGAGGCUUUCAAAGGGCGAUUCACCAUCACCAGGGACACCUCCAUCAGCACGGCCUAUCUGCAGCUGAACAGCCUGAAGACGGAUGACACAGCCGUGUAUUACUGUGCCAAGGACACAAGCAACCACUACUCCCCCGUCAUCCAGGGACGCGUCCGAGUCUCCAAGGACAGCUCCAACUUCUACCUGGAGCUGAAGAGCCUGAAGCCCGAGGACAUGGCCAUGUACUACUGUGCCAGAGAUGCACAGUGA